UGCAGUCGAACGCCCCCUUCGGGGGGAGUGGCGCACGGGUGAGUAACGCGUGGGAACCUGCCCCGAGGUGGGGGAUAACCCGGCGAAAGCCGGGCUAAUACCGCAUACGUCCUGAGGGAGAAAGAUUUAUCGCCUUGGGAGGGGCCCGCGUCCGAUUAGCUAGUUGGUGAGGUAACGGCUCACCAAGGCGACGAUCGGUAGCUGGUCUGAGAGGAUGAUCAGCCACACUGGGACUGAGACACGGCCCAGACUCCUACGGGAGGCAGCAGUGGGGAAUAUUGGACAAUGGGCGCAAGCCUGAUCCAGCAAUGCCGCGUGAGUGAUGAAGGCCUUAGGGUUGUAAAGCUCUUUCGGCGGGGACGAUGAUGACGGUACCCGCAGAAGAAGCCCCGGCUAACUUCGUGCCAGCAGCCGCGGUAAUACGAAGGGGGCUAGCGCUGUUCGGAAUUACUGGGCGUAAAGGGCGCGCAGGCGGCCUUACAAGUCAGAUGUGAAAGCCCCGGGCUCAACCUGGGAAUAGCAUUUGAGACUGUAGGUUUGAGUUCGGGAGAGGAGAGCGGAAUUCCCAGUGUAGAGGUGAAAUUCGUAGAUAUUGGGAAGAACACCGGUGGCGAAGGCGGCUCUCUGGACCGAUACUGACGCUGAGCGCGAAAGCGUGGGGAGCAAACAGGAUUAAUACCCUGGUAGUCCACGCCGUAAACGAUGUGUGCUAGACGUCGGGAGACCUAGUCUUUCGGUGUCGCACUAACGCGUUAAGCACACCGCCUGGGGAGUACGCCGCAAGGUAAAACUCAAAGGAUUGACGGGGGCCCGCACAAGCGGUGGAGCUGUGUUAAUCACGCACGC
rnacentral:rRNA from 1 species